UACGAAGGGUGCAAGCGUUAAUCGGAAUUACUGGGCGUAAAGGGUGCGUAGGCGGUUCGUUAAGUCUGUCGUGAAAUCCCCGGGCUCAACCUGGGAAUGGCGAUGAAUACUGGCGAGCUAGAGUGUGUCAGAGGAUGGUGGAAUUCCCGGUGUAGCGGUGAAAUGCGUAGAGAUCGGGAGGAACAUCAGUGGCGAAGGCGGCCAUCUGGGACAACACUGACGCUGAAGCACGAAAGCGUGGGGAGCAAACAGG
rnacentral:rRNA from 1 species